rnacentral:rRNA from 1 species
ACCAGCGGUGAUAUCACGUUGAAUGUACUAGUGGAUCAUUGAAGUUAAGCAACGUAGUGCGUGGUUAGUAUCCGGGUGGGUGACUAUCUGGGCGUUGGCAUGCUGGCU